UAUAGUAUUGCAGUUGUUGUUGUAGAGAGAAUUUCAUAUCCACAACUUUCUAAAUUGACUUUCUGUCAGCGUCGGCAUCCGGCCGGGCCAUAUUUGUUGAAAGUGUUUUAUGAUCAACAGGUUUCAACCAUGCAGAAGGUCAUUUAUCGAGCCGAAACAUUUGCUGCUGUCUAGGUAAUUGGCUUAAUUCAGCACAAUUCAUGCGGUACUUAAGAUCAUUGGCAGUUCUGACAAACAGACCUAAUGUCGACUAAAGCGGGUCAACUUUCGAGAUCGGUCCGAUUUUGAAAUCGGCAAUUUGACAAGAGAUGGUUAAUAUUAUCGACGUGGUGUUGUUAUUUGUUCUUGCAGCUGUAUCAAACGCUCUAACUGCGUCCGAUUUAGAUUACUGCUAUGAAAAGAUGAUUAUCAACGAGUUGCACAUUGGCAAGAAGACCAUGGUCAUCGCACUUGAGAGAGGAAAUGUGCUACCGGUUGCAGUACGGAUGCGCGUUGAAAAAGUCCAAAAUGGCGCAUAUCGUAUAUCCGCCCUUCUGCCAAAGUCGACCCGAACUCUUUCUGAAGCAACAUUUGCCACACCAGGGGACAUGGACUUCGACCCUAGAUACAUUAUCGGGAGUGUCAGAGUGACGUUUGUGCCCGGGGUACCCUCUGAUGGAGUCUUCCAAAAGGAUAGAAAACCAAGGCUAAGGAUACAGUUAUUUGGGUGCUAUGACCCGUAGUGACCUUGAACCAGAGAAGUUGGGUCAGUUUGUGGGCAUCGUAGAUGAUAUAACCUGAAGAGUCUUGUAUGAUGAGAACAUUCUGACUUCACAUUGCAUUACGGUUCGCUUAUCAAAACUCAUUAUCUAAACAUAUCCAACACAUGAAGGACAAGAGAAAGUGAUAAAAUGAUUCUUUAAAAGGUUGACCAGUUGUCAUUGUGGCAUUGCGUCCUGUAACUAUAAACAAGGCGAUAAUAAUGUUCUCCUGUCACGUAGAGAAUCAUUUUAAGCAAGCCAGUGAUCAGAGGGUGCCUAAAGUGUGUAGCUUUACCUGCUAUCUCAGAGGCAGCCAGUGCAUUGGCCUUAAGUGAUGUUAUUGACGCGUUGGCCAAUAAAAGGGAUAUUA